AACGAACGCUGGCGGCAUGCCUAACACAUGCAAGUCGAACGAGACCUUCGGGUUUAGUUGCGCACGGGUGCGUAACGCGUGGGAACCUGCCCUUAUGUUCGGAAUAACUCCCCGAAAGGGGUGCUAAUACCGGAUAAUGUCUUCGGACCAAAGAUUUAUCGCCUUUGGAUGGGCCCGCGUUGGAUUAGCUAGUUGGUAGGGUAAAAGCCUACCAAGGCGACGAUCCAGAGCUGGUCUGAGAGGAUGAUCAGCCACACUGGGACUGAGGCACGGCCCAGACUCCUACGGGAGGAAGCAGUGGGGAAUAUUGGAGCAGGGGCGAAAGCCUGAUCCAGCAAUGCCGCGUGAGUGAUGAAGGCCUUAGGGUUGUAAAGCUCUUUUACCCGGGAUGAUAAUGACAGUACCGGGAGAAUAAGCACCGGCUAACUCCGUG
rnacentral:rRNA from 1 species